ACGAGCAUCAGCGUUUCGUUAGAACCGUUAACUUCGUGCCACCGCCGUAUGGAUCGUUUCCUCGCCGGGUAGACGCUCGCGAUAGAAGAAUAACAGGGAUGGGGAACAGGACGGAGGAAGGUGAACAUUUUUGCCGUGGAAACUGGAUGGCACUUGGUAACAAUGGCCAGGAAGUUUUGACGAGAAACGAACGACAGGUUCCUGCUUCUUAAGUUGAAUUUUCUCUCAAAGAGAUUACGAUUAGGAUUUUUAUGCAAAUUUCCGUGUUCUCUGGAUAUACGUCGAUGGACAUAUGUGAUUGAGAUUCGUUUUACUUAUCGAAGAUUAGAGUAAAUUAAGUGGAAUGUCUGAUUUGAAUAUUUUAUACAUUUUUAUGUAUCACGUACAUGCACUUUGUGUAUUUUUGCUGUUUUAAAUUUCACGUAAAUCGGUAGCAAUCUGGAUAUUAGACCUUGUUUCGAGGUUUUUUUAUUUAGGAUACAGAGAAGAGAAUUUUCAAUGGAAUAUUUAGGUUACAUACGUAUAUAUACGGAGUGAUCGAUGAAUGAAAAGUCGAUAAUAGUAAGGCUCGUAGUAACGGAACAAUAGUACUAUUUGUUUUCCUUUCAUUCUUUCCAAACCACCGUACAAUCAUCGGCGAAGGUCUUCGCAGGCCUUGACCUUUCAGACGUCGAGGUUGUGAAGAAUUAUAGAACUAUGGCGAUUACAUCUCGUUUAAAACUCAACCUUAUUACGUAAGCGAUAUACUAAGACUUUAAUAGAUAACUGGUAUUUUAUUAUCGAUAAACGACGAUAUUUUUGACAAUGACUCACAGCUUUAGAAUUAUCCAAAAACUAGAAAGAAUUAUUGCAAUUCUCAUAGAGAUCACAGAUAGAACAUGUAAUCGGACAAAAUGCAACCAGAAGCAUGUAAAAUCGAACAGUUAUUAUAUUUGUAAAAAUUAUUGUAUUCUCAGAGUCUAACUUUUAUUUAAUGAAAUUAUUAUCACGUUGAUUCGAUGUAGUUGAAAGAAGAAUAAAAAACUAUUUUCCUACCGUUUACCUCUUUUUCCAGUGAAUAAACCCAGCUCGUUUAAAGAAAAAGCAGAGAACAAAUCGUUUCGAGACGACUUCGUUCCCCGCCGUAUUAACGUAAUUCAUAACACAAUACAUAAAAAUUGAAAGUUUUCGAGUAAUUAUGGCACACAGUGUAUAUAGAUGGAAAAAGAAAAGCAUCGUGUCUGCGGAACGUCUGGAUUCCGGUUAAUUAUGUUAAUACGCCGACGCGGCGCGGCGUCUCGAAACUCGCGAAACAUUCUUCUCUCUCUCCUUCUCUCCUUCCCCCUCUUUUCUACCUUAUGACGAAGAAAGAAUGUGAAGGUGGGGGAAGGUAAAAAUUCAACGUUAUUAUUUCAGUCACGAGCAUACGUAAACACGUAUGUGUGUCUCGCAUGUUCAUUCGAUGACUGUUUACCAGUCGAAGAAAGGCUUCCUCGAGCGCUUUAAAUAAAGGUCGUUCUCCCCUCCACUAUUUCCCCUCCAGCGCUUCAAUCAGCUGACUGGCACACUCCCCUCCCUCGCCGCACAGCUGUUGUAUAAAUAUACAUCGUUACAACGUUGAGUCAGGUUAGGCUGGUGCUAGGCUAGACACCGCACCAGCCACUGGCACCGUUAUUAUCAUACACUGUUGCCUUACGUAUAGUAGUAUAGUUAACGCGUAUCGAGCUCGACAACGCGAGCAAAUAUAUUUACUUACAUACAUCGCGUACUUCUCUCGCUACUUAACAUAUUGUUGAGCUAUUAGCGCGUGAAAAAAUUAACUCGUGCAAACGUACAUUUCCGUAAUUGAACAAAGAACGAGGCGAAUAAAUUUUUAAAAUUAUUUUUAAGGAAAUUUAUGAAAUAGAACGCGCGAAACCUAUAAUCGCGAUUUUAUGUAAUUUUAUGCAAUUACGAAAGAAUAUAUUCAUUUAUGUAAAUAUACGAAUAUAUUCAAUAAUUAGACCGGUUGACGAAUACUAUCGGCUAAACAUUUUACAGUUUCUUCUACGUUACGUUUCCUGAAUGCUGAUCACAAAUUUUUCCUCUAUAUUCUGCUAUGCAAACACAAAUAUAUUUCUGGCUAAACAACGGUAUUUAAACGUAUGCGUGUAUACACGGUGUUGAUAAAUUGUUGAAACGAUUCUGCAAACAAACAUGACGAUUAAUACGCAAAAACGUGGUUUCAGAUUUAUUUCUCUAGUUAUACGAGAAAUGACUACGUAUAUGUAAUAAGAAAAUUGUAUUUAUUUUGUAUAUGUAAUAAGAUAAUUGUGUUUAUUCAUUUUUAUUUUUUUAUUAUAUAUAUUUGUCGGAGAAGAGUCAGGAACAGGGUUGUGGGCGUUUGAUAGACCUCCCUUGGAGUUGGCCAUCGUUGUGUGAUAACGAAGACGCGGCCUGAUGCUACGAGUAUGGAUACUACCGAUUCGACAAUCAGCAGCGGUGAUUGGGCACUUGCGAUGUUAGCGACGUUGGUCUUAGGUUCGAUGACGAAUCCACGGUCAACGGGAUGGAAGAGAUACUUGCUCUAACUCAAACUCACUGAUCGUCAGGCCCUGCUCCCUUCGUCGGUGGGAUCUCAAGAAAGAAUGAAUCUUCGUCCCAAUGAUGCCACAGAGGAAAACUAUGAUGGGGUGUGUCUAAGGUGACGAGAUCAUCGGAUCCGUCGGAUAUAGCUCUCGUUCCGAAAGUAAGGGAAAUUGACGUCACUGUCGAUUGGUCAGUUUGGGACAAAGACUGUCUGUCCGUUUGGAAAAUCUUAAUUGCCUAAAAAACCCAGGUUUUAUAGCGGGUCCUCGGGCUAACUGGACUUGUGCCGUGUACGUGCCUCAACAUCAGGCGAAGCGCCCGUCCCGUUGACCGCGGCUACGUUCGGCGACUGAUGGUCGCCUUGAGCCCAAGUUUAUUAUCACAAAUCGCAAACAAGUACAAUUGGGCAGGAUGACGGCAAAUUGUUUAAUUACGACCGUAAACUUUAAUUGCAAUUUUACGGAUUUUCCCGAAGUUCCAGAGGGGCGGCUCCGGUCUCCUUUCAUCUCCGACAUAUUUAAAAGAAAAAAGACGCGGUAGUUUGAAAAUUAAGGAGAUGUAAGCAUGUGGAGGAAUAAAUAUCUUUAGUCGAAAAGAAGAAAAUUCUUGCACUGAUUCGAGACACCGUGAAGAAAGUCUACAGUAUCGGGAAGCCUUUUAUUCCUAAUCGAAGGACGAAGCCGUGUGGAAGCCGUCGAUCGCCGGAAAUUGUCUUGGACCAGCGCGCUUUCUGCGUUCCGGGGAUCGAUGGAGCGCUAUCUACCCUCUGACGCGUCCAAAAUCGACUUGCAACCGUGUCAUCGACGAUCGAUGAACCCCGACAUUCGACAAAGUAAGACGCAGUACUUGAAUUGUUUCGGUUACGGAACAUUUGGUCGAUUGAUUAACCCAAUUCCCAAUGCCAUACAAAACAAUGUCCAGUCAUUCUGCAUGACUUUACAUUUCGACACAACUUGUAUCAUAAGUAUGACGACGCUUCUACGUUUAUUAUUAGAAUAUGAAAAAGUAGAUUUUCAUAAAACAUUGUAUUUUACAAAUGUAUUACAAAUGUAUUAGGUUGUCCGAAAAGCGUCUUUCUGUUGCAGACAUGUCUUUUACAACGACGCAUCUUUAUACAAACAUGAAACCAAAUCCGUCGAAUGUUGUGAGCUUUAUUUUGAUAGAACAAAAUGGAUCAUACGUAAUUCGAUAGAAUAAUAUAAAACGGGGAAUGUCAUACUUCCAUUAUUUCCUUAUAAAACGAAAGAUACUUUUCGGACGACCUAAUAUGUGCGUGCACAGCGUCUCGUAAAACAGAUGAAUACAAUUGGUCCACAAUUGUGGUAGUGUGGUAAAGAAGAUGGUGAGACAAAGAGAAUGCUGAGACUCGUGCAAAUUUGUAUCGACGAAUAUCUUGCAAAUCACAUAUUAAAUAAAUCUGAAACUAUUUUGAUAUCAAUUCUAAGUGUAAUCCAAGUGUUGCUACACAUUUAUUUCGGCGAUUAAGAUCCGCAAUUCCCAACAGAUAUAAAUUUUUAUAAAAUAUAAAAGUAUAAAAUAUUAUCAAUAUAAAAUUGGAAAUAUUAUAUUAAUAAUAUAAAUAUUUAUAUUAAUAAAUAUUAGGUUGUCCGAAAAGUGUCUUUCUGUUUCAGACACGUCUUUUACAACAACGCAUCUAUAUGCAAACAUGAAACCUAAUCCGUCGAACUUUGUGAGCUUUAUUUUGAUAGAACAAAAUGGAUCAUACGUAAUUAGAUAGAAUAAUAUAAAACGGAAAAUAUUGUGCCUUCAUUAUUUCCUUAUAAAACUUUUCGGACGACUUUGAGAACGACAAGAGUUGUAACGAAGACAAAGAGAAGAAACACGAAUUAACAAUUAAUAAAUUUUACUAUUAGAAUUAUUAUUCUAUCAAAUUUUUUAUUCUUCUUUUGCAAAGCUUGUAUUACGACGAUUUUCACCGGUAAAAAUGACGGAUCUUAGACUCUUUACUUUUACUUUUAACUAUCAGAGAUAUUCCAGCGUUUUUGACAAAACGAAUGCUAACUUUUAUUGAAAUGGAAAUACGGCUUUGUACACUAUUUUAUUUAUAAUAUAUCAUUUUAAUUAAAAUCAUCUAUAACCGA